GGAAACGUCUCCGUCCAGCCAAGGCCUUCGCACACGUCUGACCCUGGAGGUGUGGUUGCAGACAGUCAUGCGUUCAGAGAGAGGACCCCUCCGGUGGGCACAGUGCAGACAUGGUUUCGGCUUUCAGAAGCAGUCACGGGGGAGCGGACCUCUUCCUUCUCCGUUCCAGUCCUGGCUGGGAUGGCGCUCAGGAGCACACUGCAGCGGGAGCAAAGGGAGUUUAUUUAAAGAACCCGAAAGGUUAAACCACUCAGUGAUCUGCGGAGUUGACGGAGAGGCACUAUAAGCAGCCUAGCCAAGUUCGACCUGGGCGGUGCGGGUCUCAAAAUGCUUCCUGCACUCUGGUGUCUCUCGAUUCCAGAAUAUACAGCAAAGUGCUGGACAGCGAGGCGAAACCAGGAGCCAGGAGCUUUCGAGGCCAGCCCUAGGCUGCACGUUCUCUGCAUCCUCCAUAAACAGCUCGUGACUCCGCACAACUGCAGGGGUGGAUAUUGUUCUUAGCCCUCACUUAGAGAUGGAGAAACUGAGGCACGGGAGGCGGGGCGAGGCCACAUGCUCCAGGUCCGGCAGAGUAUGGGGCGGAGCUGGGGUUUGGAGCCAGGCUGUACGGCCUCAGUGUCUAAGCUCUUCCCUUGGAGCCACCAGCUCACGCUCCACGGACGGGUCCUCGUCUGUGUCUCCAGCGAGACUUCGCUCCUGGGCUCUGCUCUUCCUCGUCCACCUGCCUCUGGGCUUCGGAUGGGGCUCCUCAGAUCCCUCGGUCCUGCAGACUCACAGGUCAGAAACGGACCCUGACCUUCACCGUGGGAACCCUCAUCUUACCCAGAGCCCUGAGGCCAGAUGAGCCAUGAGCUUCACCGGAGGCCCCCGGCCACAGCUCUCCACGUCACUCGGGGCUGUGUCCCCAGAAUGCCACCUGGAGCCUGCUGCGCACACAGGGGCAUGACCUCCAGCACACGUCAGCUGAAUCAGAAUCACCAAGGUGUAUGGAGAAUAGACACGAGUGGGCCUGGCCAGUCACCAUCCUUCAGGGAGCUAUUGUGCGCGUGCUGAGGAGAGAGGCUCCCACUGAACUCUCGCAAACACGGGAUCUGAGCACAUUAGCAGGAAAGAAGCAGGGCGAGAGGACAGAGCUACGUUUCUCCCAGACCCUGGCCUCCGGAGUGCUCGAUGCAACAUACAUGCCACCGAUGGGAGCUCUCGCGUGACCUCUGGAAGGCAGAAGCCACUCCGGCUUCUCUGGCAGCCCAGGCGGCGCGUGGGCUGUGGCAAAUAGCACACAGGCCCUGACCACCUGGGUGUCCAGGGCGCGCCCCACUUGGAGGCCGCGAAGAGCAUCAGGAGACACCGUGUCUGCGGCGUCUGAAAUGAGAGACGCCAAACGAGAGAGCACGUUGGACAAAAGCAAUGUGCUUUUCUUCAACACAAGAUUUCCUCCCCCAAAACAGCAUCAGACUGUCGGAAGCCGGGCAUCGUUCCAAAGUUGCAGAAGUCCGUCCCUCGAACACAGCCCAGUGAGGCAGCUCUUAGCGCUUUGGUUUCCAGACACACUGAGAGGCGAGAACGCCCAUCGGGGUAAGUGCCUCCCAACGCCCUGGUGCUGCCCCUGGCCUCGUAGAGCAGGCCUUGCUUCCAGAGAACCACCAGCUCUGGCCCCCACUCCCCGACUAGGAAGCAAGGUGUUAGAGGAGUGCUGGGGCGGGGGGGGCUCCGACCAGGCAGGCUCUCGGAGG